rfam:Lingula anatina scaffold136, whole genome shotgun sequence.
GGGCUUGUAGUUUAGUGGUAGAAUACUUGACUUGCACUCAGGAGACGCCAGUUCAAUUCUGGUCAGGUCCA